GGCCGCUGCACCUGCACAACGUGGAACAGCCACGCCAUGGCGGACAAAGAACUCGAGGCGCUGAGGAAGCAGAGGCUGGCCGAGCUGCAGGCUAAGCAUGGAGAUCCUGGUGAUGCAGCCCAACAGGAAGCAAAACAAAGGGAAGCAGAAAUGAGAAACAGUAUCUUAGCCCAGGUUCUGGACCAGUCAGCCCGGGCCAGAUUAAGUAACUUAGCACUUGUAAAGCCUGAAAAAACUAAAGCAGUGGAGAACUACCUUAAACAGAUGGCACGAUAUGGACAACUAAGUGGAAAGGUGUCAGAACAAGGUUUAAUAGAAAUACUUGAGAAAGUCAGCCAACAGACAGAAAAGAAAACAACAGUGAAAUUCAACAGAAGAAAAGUAAUGGACUCUGAUGAAGACGAUGAUUACUAAGAGGAUGUGCUUAGAUGGAAUUACAGUGGAGCAGUGUCUAGGACAGUCACCACCUUGUAACUGUUUACUUCGGUCCCUGUCUAUACAUGCCUUUUGAAAAAAUAAACUUGUACCUCAAACUCAAA